GACCUCGGAUCAGGUAGGAAUACCCGCUGAACUUAAG
rnacentral:rRNA from 1 species